CCUCCCCCACCUCGCCGCUCCCAGUUCGCAGGCGCAGCGGCCCGUGCGCUCCGCCCACCCAAGACCCGCCCCUUGCGGGAGGUCCGCGCGAGCGCACUAGCCCUUCCCCACCCCCAACCAGCUCGCUGCUCUCAGCUUGGGUUUGGCUGCUGACUGGCUGACCGCUCUCCGCGUCCUCUUUGCAACCUCGGAUGCCUUCUCCCGGCUCUCCGGCCCAUCCUAGUUUCCAAGGGAAGAGUCAGUCACAGGUUCUUCGAAUUUCAGCUUUACAAGCUUUCCUACCAGACUCAACUGUCGAUGGCAGUUUUGGGGGUUCUUUUAGAUCUGAGGAUCAAACCCAGGGCCUUGCACAUUCUACGCAAGCACGCUAUCAUCGAUCUACAUCCAUUCACCACAUUUCUUCCGACAUUAGCACAAUAUGAAAGAUCUCACUAUGUUUCCAGGGCUGGCCUCAAACUCUCAGUGAUAUUCCUGCCUCAGCCUUCUGAGCUGGAUUUACAGGCACAUACCACUAACCUGGUUGAAAAUGAAUUUUUUUGAAGGGGGGUGGUAUUGGGGAUCAAACUCGGGACCUUGCGCUUGUGAGGCAGGUGCCG
rnacentral:lncRNA from 1 species